GGAAACAGCAGUGGUGCAUAUGCUCAGAGGAAUACUUUCUAAGGAUGCAGCAGUGGGCCCAAGGCUACAGAAGACAUCACAAGAGGCUUCUGCAGAAAACUGUGAUGUACUGAUAGCAGUCUGAUUCUCUGCUGUAAACAUCUAGUAGGCUCAGUUACAUCCAUGGCCCCAGGGCCCUUCAACAAGCACAGUUCUAGAUACAUCUGAAACUUCAGUAGGGAUAUAAACUCCAUCACAGGACAGCAUCUCCCCGUGGCCAUAAUGAACCUGUGAAUCUGACCCAUCAAAGACACUACUGGUUUCAACCUGAAGGUUGAGACUGCAGGAAGACAGGAAUGUGUGGCAGUCCAGUGUCUGCACACCCGACUAGCCAAGAGGCCUCUCUGAGACUACAGCAGCAAUGUGGUCAGUGCAAAGGGAUGUCUCUACAUGACCUUUAACUAGAACUUCAAAAGAAGCUAAAGGAGCAUUCUGAAAACAAACGAGGAGAAAUAUUCCUUCAUUGCUAUUCUUUGAUUGCCCCUCAAGCUCAAAGCCUUCCCUAAUGACUAGACAUUAUGCUAUGGAGGCAGAUUGGAACAAAGGCAGAAAUCACUGUAGAAGAAAGAAGACUUGAUGUUAAAAUGAAGGUUCAUUUUUCAACUGGGAAACAAGAUGAUGCAAGAAGAAUCUGUAAGAGAACACCAGAGAAAUCCUACAAUGCUAUCAACCAAAUAUUAAAGAAAGGAAAUCUAGUGAGAGUCUAGAGAAUAAGAGCUGUAAUCAGUCUCUUUAUUCUCAAAGUGGACAUGAUCAAAAUGCUGUGGAAAUAAGAAUGGUGAUGACUGUCAUGAUAAGGUAGAAUUUGAAUAUUUUAUUGAAAAUUGGAGGAAAGAUUAAUCAUUUUUGUUUAUGAAAAUGGUGGAGAAAUGGCUAAAUUUUGUCUGUUGGUUUCUGGAAUCACAGAUUUAAAAGUGAUAAAGUGUAAUGUUAACAAGAUUAAAGCCCUAAACAGCACAGAGCAUCUAUAUACUUCUCUUGCUUGUAAUAACAUUCAGAAUGAAUCAAAUGAAAUAAAGGAAGAUUGUGUUAGCCAAAUCAAAGCAGAAUCAAAGAUGCGUGUGCUUGCCCCAUAGAAAAAUGAAAAGGUCUGCUUUGGUGAGAAUGCCAAUGGACAGCUGAGAAAACCUUUGAAAGGGAGGCUAAUAUAAUGGAAGAAGUGUACUCUUUAUGAAGAUGACAGAUGAUUAGCGCAAAGGCAUUUUGGAGAUUUCCGAAACUUCCUCUCACAUCACCGAUUUGAGAGGCAUGGCCUUCACAGAAGAAGGUUUCAAGCAAGGGUACCAGGGAAUUAUUUGGACUUCCAGUGUCACUUCCUGCCUUCUGACUCCACUUUCUACAUCCAUUGCUUUUAGUGUUCCUUGACUUCCUCAGAUGUGGCUCUUGCUGUCUUAGGUGCUGUACAAGAUUCUACUUCAGAAAGAAUAGUGUCAAGCCGGGGAGGUAUCAUGUAGUACUGACUAAUACAGACACAGUACACAAACUGGGGAGUUGCCUUAAUGCCAAUUUCUGAAAUUGAAUCAUCACUUCUGUAGAGAAUAAAGCUCAUGUAACUGAAAAAGCUCAGGGAACCCAGGCAAUCAUGACCCACAAGACCACUCUUCAAGGCUAUCUCAGUGGGGAUGCUUGUGGCAGGAAGCUGACAGUCUGAACAGCUAUCUGCAAGUUGUUCAGAGGC